rnacentral:rRNA from 1 species
AGUGAACGCUGGCGGUAGGCCUAACACAUGCAAGUCGAACGGCAGCACAGUAAGAGCUUGCUCUUACGGGUGGCGAGUGGCGGACGGGUGAGGAAUACAUCGGAAUCUACUUUUUCGUGGGGGAUAACGUAGGGAAACUUACGCUAAUACCGCAUACGACCUACGGGUGAAAGCAGGGGAUCUUCGGACCUUGCGCGAUUGAAUGAGCCGAUGUCGGAUUAGCUAGUUGGCGGGGUAACGGCCCACCAAGGCGACGAUCCGUAGCUGGUCUGAGAGGAUGAUCGGCCACACUGGAACGGAGACACGGUCCAGACUCCUACGGGAGGCAGCAGUGGGGAAUAUUGGACAAUGGGCGCAAGCCUGAUCCAGCCAUACCGCGUGGGUGAAGAAGGCCUUCGGGUUGUAAAGCCCUUUUGUUGGGAAAGAAAAGCAGCAGGUUAAUACCCCGCUGUUCUGACGGUACCCAAAGAAUAAGCACCGGCUAACUUCGUG